rnacentral:lncRNA from 1 species
UUGGAAAAGAAGUCACUUCAAGUACAGAAAUCUUGUUCCUCAUUUCAACAUAUAACCGCACUUGGAGCAGACCUGCCAUCAAUAGUAGCUGCAUUACUGUAGCAUUGAAAUGUGUGUUUGGCAAAUAAAUGGCUGAAGUUU